rnacentral:lncRNA from 1 species
ACACUGUCUAUUACGCCUUCUAACAGGUCUCAAGUUUUUUAAAUUUUUUAUGUAGAAUUCAAAACACUCGUUAUUUACCUAAAAAUACCCCAAAAAUCCAAAAUUAGUGUCCAAAACUCUUUUUGGUCAAUUUUGGAAUUUUGGCACGGCGGCGGCGUCGUGCUCUAGCACUGGCUCCGCUGUCCGCAGCGGCGAUUCU